rnacentral:rRNA from 1 species
GUUGUAUAGUCAAGUAAUUAAGUGCAUGUGGUGGAUGCCUUGGCAGUCAGAGGCGAUGAAAGACGUGAUAGCCUGCGAAAAGCUCCGGGGAGGCGGCAAAUAUCCUUUGAUCCGGAGAUGUCUGAAUGGGGGAACCCACCUACUUUAAGGUAGGUAUUGCAACAUGAAUACAUAGUGUUGCAAGGCGAACGAGGGGAAGUGAAACAUCUCAGUACCCUUAGGAAAAGAAAUCAAUUGAGAUUCCCUCAGUAGCGGCGAGCGAACGGGGAUCAGCCCAUUAAGUUAUGUGUGUUUUAGUGGAACGCUCUGGGAAGUGCGAACGUAGAGGGUGAUAUUCCCGUACACGAAAGGGCACACAUAAUGAUGACGAGUAGGGCGAGGCACGUGAAACCUUGUCUGAAUAUGGGGGGACCAUCCUCCAAGGCUAAAUACUCCUGACUGACCGAUAGUGAACCAGUACCGUGAGGGAAAGGCGAAAAGAACCCCUGUGAGGGGAGUGAAAUAGAUCCUGAAACCGCAUGCAUACAAGCAGUGGGAGCACCUUCGUGGUGUGACUGCGUACCUUUUGUAUAAUGGGUCAGCGACUUAUAUUCAGUAGCGAGGUUAACCGUAUAGGGGAGCCGUAGAGAAAUCGAGUCUUAAUAGGGCGUUUAGUUGCUGGGUAUAGACCCGAAACCAGGCGAUCUAUCCAUGAGCAGGUUGAAGGUUGGGUAACACUAACUGGAGGACCGAACCCACUGUCGUUGAAAAGCCAGGGGAUGACUUGUGGAUAGGGGUGAAAGGCUAAUCAAGCCUGGUGAUAGCUGGUUCUCCCCGAAAGCUAUUUAGGUAGCGCCUCGGACGAAUACCAUAGGGGGUAGAGCACUGUUUCGGCUAGGGGGUCAUCCCGACUUACCAAACCGAUGCAAACUCCGAAUACCUAUGAGUACUAUCCGGGAGACAGACUGCGGGUGCUAACGUCCGUAGUCAAGAGGAAAACAAUCCAGACCGCCAGCUAAGGCCCCAAAAUCAUAGUUAAGUGGGAAACGAUGUGGGAAGGCAUAGACAGCUAGGAGGUUGGCUUAGAAGCAGCCACCCUUUAAAGAAAGCGUAAUAGCUCACUAGUCGAGUCGGCCUGCGCGGAAGAUGUAACGGGGCUAAAACUAUGUGCCGAAGCUGCGGAUGUAUACUUUGUAUACGUGGUAGGGGAGCGUUCUGUAAGCCGAUGAAGGUGUGUUGAGAAGCAUGCUGGAGGUAUCAGAAGUGCGAAUGCUGACGUGAGUAACGACAAAACGGGUGAAAAACCCGUUCGCCGAAAGACCAAGGGUUCCAGUCCAACGUUAAUCGGGGCUGGGUGAGUCGACCCCUAAGGCGAGGCCGAAAGGCGUAGUCGAUGGGAAAAUGGUUAAUAUUCCAUUACUUCUGUGUAAUGCGAUGAGAGGACGGAGAAGGCUAAAUCAGCCUGGCGUUGGUUGUCCAGGUGAAAGGAUGUAGGCAUGUAUCUUAGGCAAAUCCGGGGUACUCUAUGCUGAGAUCUGAUAGCAAGCUGUACUUGUACAGCGAAGUGGUUGAUGCCAUGCUUCCAGGAAAAGUCUCUAAGCUUCAGUUACACAGGAAUCGUACCCGAAACCGACACAGGUGGUCAGGUCGAGUAGACCAAGGCGCUUGAGAGAACUCUGCUGAAGGAACUAGGCAAAAUGGUACCGUAACUUCGGGAGAAGGUACGCUGUUGUUGGUGAUGGAACUCGCUUCCUGAGCUGACGACAGCCGCAGAAACCAGGCCGCUGCAACUGUUUAUUAAAAACAUAGCACUCUGCAAACACGAAAGUGGACGUAUAGGGUGUGAUGCCUGCCCGGUGCUGGAAGGUUAAUUGAUGGGGUUAGCGUAAGCGAAGCUCUUGAUCGAAGCCCCAGUAAACGGCGGCCGUAACUAUAACGGUCCUAAGGUAGCGAAAUUCCUUGUCGGGUAAGUUCCGACCUGCACGAAUGGCAUAAUGAUGGCGGCGCUGUCUCCAGCAGAGGCUCAGUGAAAUCGAAAUCGCUGUGAAGAUGCAGUGUACCCGCGGCUAGACGGAAAGACCCCGUGAACCUUUACUGCAGCUUGACACUGAACUUUGACCUUACUUGUGUAGGAUAGGUGGGAGGCUUUGAAGCUGGAACGCUAGUUCCAGUGGAGCCGUCCUUGAAAUACCACCCUGGUAAUGUUGAGGUUCUAACUCUGUCCCGUGAUCCGGGACGAGGACCGUGUCUGGUGGGUAGUUUGACUGGGGCGGUCUCCUCCUAAAGAGUAACGGAGGAGUACGAAGGUGCGCUCAGCGUGGUCGGAAAUCACGCGUAGAGUAUAAAGGCAAAAGCGCGCUUAACUGCGAGACCCACAAGUCGAGCAGGUACGAAAGUAGGUCUUAGUGAUCCGGUGGUUCUGUAUGGAAGGGCCAUCGCUCAACGGAUAAAAGGUACUCUGGGGAUAACAGGCUGAUACCGCCCAAGAGUUCAUAUCGACGG